CAAUGGUUCGCGGCCGGCGUAGCCGUACCGCUGCUCGCGCCAGCGGCCGUCCUGUGGGUCGCCACCGUCGCCAUCGCC
rnacentral:tRNA from 1 species